UUAUCCGGAUUUAUUGGGUUUAAAGGGUGCGUAGGUGGUAAUUUAAGUCAGCGGUGAAAGUUUGUGGCUCAACCAUAAAAUUGCCGUUGAAACUGGGUUACUUGAGUGUGUUUGAGGUAGGCGGAAUGCGUGGUGUAGCGGUGAAAUGCAUAGAUAUCACGCAGAACUCCAAUUGCGAAGGCAGCUUACUAAACCAUAACUGACACUGAAGCACGAAAGCGUGGGUAUCAAACAGGAUUAGAUACCCUGGUAGUCCACGCAGUAAACGAUGAUUACUAGGAGUUUGCGAUACACAGUAAGCUCUACAGCGAAAGCGUUAAGUAAUCCACCUGGGGAGUACGCCGGCAACGGUGAAACUCAAAGGAAUUGACGGGGGCCCGCACAAGCGGAGGAACAUGUGGUUUAA
rnacentral:rRNA from 1 species